UGGGGUCCUGUAGCUCCAGUGGCUCAAGAAUGGUAGGGAGAGCCGGUCCAGGGACUGAGGGGGCCUGGCGCUAAACUGCGGCAGGAACAAUGGAGCCGUUGCCCUGGCAACCAAGCGAAGCCUCCCCCUGGGCCUCUAGGCUGAGUCUGGGCAGAGGUGUCUUCAGAAAGGGAGGUGGGAACAGAGGGGGUGCUCUGUUCUCAGAACUGUCUGUCCCCCCACGAAGGGCAGCAGGGGGGCCUCUUUCCAGAGCAGAACAUCAGUCUCUGUUGGCCCAUUCUCCAGAGCCACUGAGAGAGGCCCUGGUGUGGAGACCCUGCUGACCGACCGGGCAGUGGACACCUCACUCCUGGGUCUGAUGAGAAACUUCCCCUCGUGCCCACCCCUACUCCCGGGCCUCCUGAGGGCUGAUUGGGGACAGUGACUGGGAAAUCAGGACUUGGUGCUCUCCGCACAGGAGCUCGAGAUCCUGGCGGAGGCCGAGAAGAAGCCGUUCUGAGAGGGGGGCUCCACCCGAUGGCAGGGCUGAGUGGAGAGGCGCUGGCCCCGCAGGCUCCUCGCAAAGGUCACCUCCCAGCCAAGAAGAUCCUACAGGGACUGUUUCUGCAGACCUGUUAGGUGACCGCCCUGGCCUGUGCUGGGCUCCCCACGUCUGACCCAGCUUGAUCACCCACCUUAGUCACCAGCUUUGGAUCCAAAUGACUGUUAUCUGUUUCCAAAAAUUCCAUCCACCUCAACAAGGCACAGAUUUGUCACCCUCAAGAGUGUUCAAAUGGCACAACUUCAAGAGUUCUGGAAGCUUCCUUCAGAACUCAGAGUACAUAAAAGUCUAAUCUUUCGAGAUGACUGUUUUCCAGGGUCUGAUACAGGUCCCCUGCCGUUGCCUUGAGAAGAAUAUUCUGGGCUAGCUUGCUGAACUCUAGAAGAGGAUGAGAGAGAUGUCAGUAAUGUUACUCCAACUAGGACGCCAAGCCUGGAGAAGCACCCCCAACCAACCCCCAGAAGCAGAAGCCACAGGUGAGAUCAACAGAACCCUGACCCUUCCUUCCUUCAUCUCAUUCAAGCCCAGCUUUGUUCAGCAUACAACUUGUUGGCCCUGAAAAGGGCAAGGUCUGAUAAUAAAUGACUACUGUUUUAAGACA